rnacentral:RNase_P_RNA from 1 species
CGCCUAAGCACUUCGGUGCCGGUAAGGGUGAAAAGGUGCGGUAAGAGCGCACCGCACGUCUGGCAACAGUUCGUGGCAAGGUAAACCCCACUCGGAGCAAGACCAAAUAGGGUUCCUAGGCGUGGCCCGCGCUGGAACCGGGUAGGUUGCUAAAGACGUCCAGUGAUGGCCGUCGUAGAGGAAUGACUGUCCUCGACAGAACCCGGCUUACAGAUCGACUCUCCAC